CCUCUCGGGGUUACAGCCUUGCUGAAUUAUUCACCCUUGUCUUUUGCGUACUUCUUGUUUCCUUGGUGGGUUCGCCCACCACUAGGACAAACAUAAACCUUUUGUAAUUGCAAUCAGCGUCAGUAACAAAUUAAUAAUUACAACUUUCAACAACGGAUCUCUUGGUUCUGGCAUCGAUGAAGAACGCAGCGAAAUGCGAUAAGUAGUGUGAAUUGCAGAAUUCAGUGAAUCAUCGAAUCUUUGAACGCACAUUGCGCCCUUUGGUAUUCCAAAGGGCAUGCCUGUUCGAGCGUCAUUUGUACCCUCAAGCUUUGCUUGGUGUUGGGCGUCUUGUCUCUAGCUUUGCUGGAGACUCGCCUUAAAGUAAUUGGCAGCCGGCCUACUGGUUUCGGAGCGCAGCACAAGUCGCACUCUCUAUCAGCAAAGGUCUAGCAUCCAUUAAGCCUUUUUUUCAACUUUUGACCUCGGAUCAGGUAGGGAUACCCGCUGAACUUAAGCAUAUCAAUAAGCGGAGGA
rnacentral:rRNA from 1 species